GAUCCUGCUCAGGAUGAACGCUAGCGGCAGGCUUAACACAUGCAAGUCGAGGGGCAGCGCGGAGUAGCAAUACUCUGGCGGCGACCGGCGGAAGGGUGCGUAACACGUGAGCGACUUGCCCGUCACAGGGAGAUAACCGCUGGAAACGGCGACUAAUAUCCCAUAUGAUGGCGAUCUGCAUGGAUUGUCAUUGAAAGAUUCAUCGGUGACGGAUAGGCUCGG
rnacentral:rRNA from 1 species